CGUUGAUUUUAUGUGUAUACAUGCAUAUUUUAUCGUGUGCAGGCAGUGCAUUUUAUUUAUUUUACUUAUUUAUUUUAUUGCUUUUAUUUUUCUAAUGUGUACUUCAUCUUUCUAUUGUGCUUCUAUUGUGUUAUCUAUUUACUCUGUUAAUCUCUUCCUCUCUCUUUCUGCACUCAUUCAUGUCCCAUUACUGCAUGUUACUAACUUCACUUCUUCCCCGGAGUUCUUGUGCUUUCUCGUCCCGCAGGUUCUCAUGGAUCCUGGUGGAGCCUCCUGCCAUGGUCCUGCUUGACUGCCAUUGCCAAUACUGUUGUUGCUGUGCACCUGUCUGUCUGUCUGUCUGUCUGUCGCUCUCUCUCUCUCUCUCUCUCUCUCUCUCUCUCUCUCUCACCCCAACUGGUCGAGACAGACGACCACCCACCUAGAGCCGGAGGAUCUGUCCUAGGUUUCUGCCUUUUAACAGGCAGUUUUUCCUUGCCCUUGUCGCCAAGUGCUUGCUCAUGGUGGUACUGUUGGGUCUCUGUAAUUAAUGUUAAAGAGUUCGGUCUAGACCUGCUCUAUUUGAAAAGUGUCCUGAGAUAACUUCUGUUAUGAAUUGGCGCUAUACAAAUAAAAUUGAAUUGAAAA